CAGCCGCCACGGUAAUACGAAGGGGGCUAGCGUUGCUCGGAAUGACUGGGCGUAAAGGGCGCGUAGGCGGUUUUGACUGUCAGAUGUGAAAUUCCUGGGCUUAACCUGGGGGCUGCAUUUGAGACGUUAAGACUAGAGUGUGAGAGAGGGUUGUGGAAUUCCCAGUGUAGAGGUGAAAUUCGUAGAUAUUGGGAAGAACACCGGUGGCGAAGGCGGCAACCUGGCUCAUUACUGACGCUGAGGCGCGGAAGCGUGGGGAGCAAACAGGAUUAGAUACCCCCGUAGUCCCUGUCUCUUAUAC
rnacentral:rRNA from 1 species